GACACACAUUCUUAGUAUUACCAUAGACUAUAUAUUACAUGGACUGCCAACUCUACGCACUAAGCCUAUAUUUUUCAAUAAACAAGUCCCGUUCACGGAGGCGUCCUUGGUUGCGUGGUAAAUUGACUUCCGGUAGAUUUUUUUUUACGUAUAAAGAAACCAUUCUCGAAGAUUUUUACCACCACUUUUACAGCAAAUCAUGAAUGGAAACUGAAUUGUUAAAGAAGAUGUUACAGAGGAGCAUACUACUUCCAAAAAACUGAUUUGAUUGUCACUAACUUUCAAAUUGAAAGGGAUCUACUACAACUGCUCAUGAAUUUCGAGAUUUUACAGCUAAUAGAGGAACAAAUUUUAUCUGCUUCCACUUAGCCAAACAGCAUGGAAAUAUGCUAUUGUAAUGAGUAGAAGAUAUUUGUCAUUUAGAGUAUCAUGCAACAACUAAUUAUCAGUCCACACAUUUCAAGAUGAGGAAAAGAACAGUAUAAGCUACAUUCAUUGAUGCAUUAUUUAUACAAAAAUGUAUAGUCAACCCAGUCAUCACUCCAUUUUUUUAUGAAGCCAGUUACAGUUACCAAGAAGGGAUGAAAUUUCAGAUAAUAUUUUGUUUAUUUCAUGAAAUGAGAAUAGGCCUACAUCAGAAAUUGAGAUGGUCAUCUUCAGUAUUUAAUGUUUCAUCUAAAAAUGAUAAUUAUAUUAAUACAUAUUUGAUGUACAAACAAAUGAAAACCAUUCAAACACUUUUUUUUUGUGAAGUAUAGAUGAUUAAACUUGUAAGUGUCUGAACAAUA